AGAGUUUGAUCAUGGCUCAGAACGAACGCUGGCGGCGUGCCUAACACAUGCAAGUCGAACGAGAAAUUCCGACUUCGGUUGGAAGAGUAAAGUGGCGCACGGGUGAGUAACGCGUGGGUAACCUACCCCUGAAUUUGGGAUAACUUCGCGAAAGCGUUGCUAAUACCGAAUACUGUCCCAUUGGCGGCUAGUCUUUGGGAUGAAAGGUGACCUCUUCAUGAAAGUUGCCGUUGAGGGAUGGGCCCGCGUACCAUUAGCUUGUUGGUAGGGUAAUGGCCUACCAAGGCGACGAUGGUUAGCUGGUCUGAGAGGAUGAUCAGCCACACUGGAACUGGAACACGGUCCAGACUCCUACGGGAGGCAGCAGUGAGGAAUUUUGCGCAAUGGGGGAAACCCUGACGCAGCAACGCCGCGUGAGUGAAGAAGGCCUUCGGGUUGUAAAGCUCUGUCAAGUGGGAAAAAAGUCUCGCUGUGAAUAGCUGCGAGAUCUGAUGGUACCACUAAAGGAAGUACCGGCUAACUCCGUGCCAGCAGCCGCGGUAAUACGGAGGGUGCAAGCGUUGUUCGGAAUUACUGGGCGUAAAAGCGCGUGCAGGCGGUUUGGCAAGUCAGAUGUGAAAGCCCUGGGCUCAACCCAGGAAGUGCAUUUGAAACUGCUUUUCUUGAGUAUGGGAGAGGAGAGUGGAAUUCCCAGUGUAGAGGUGAAAUUCGUAGAUAUUGGGAGGAACACCCGUGGCGAAGGCGACUCUCUGGACCAAUACUGACGCUGAGACGCGAAAGCGUGGGGAGCAAACAGGAUUAGAUACCCUAGUAGUCC
rnacentral:rRNA from 1 species